rnacentral:tRNA from 1 species
GGGCGCAUAGCUCAGUGGAUAGAGCAUCCGCCUUCUAAGCGGAUGGUCGCAGGUUCGAAUCCUGCUGCGCCCG